rnacentral:rRNA from 1 species
GCACUAUAAAUCUAACUUUAAUCCAACAUCGAGGUCGCAAACUACUCCAUCGAUAAGAACUCUCCAGAGUAAUAACGCUGUUAUCCCUAAGGUAAUUUAAUCUUUUAAUCCAUAAAACAGGAUCACAUUUACACUAAUUCAUGAUUUAUUUUAAUAGAAGUUACUGAAAUUCUACCACCACCCCAGCGUAAAUAUUAAUUAUAAAAAAUAAUAAGUAUCAUCCACAAUUAUAUUAUAUAAUUAAUAUUAAAAUUCUAUAGGGUCUUCUCGUCCCACAACUAUAUUUAAGUUUUUUUACAAAAAAAAUAAAUUCAAUAAUAAACUUAAGUCAAGAAAGUUAAAUCCUCGUCCAACCAUUCAUACUAGCCUUCAAUUAAAAGACAAAUUAUUAUGCUACCUUUGUAUAGUUAAAAUACUAUAGCAAUUUAAAAAAUUCUUCAUUGAGCAGGUCAGACCUAAAAUUAAAAUCUAUAGGACAUGUUUUU